rnacentral:rRNA from 1 species
CGGAUUGUAGUCUGCAACUCGACUACAUGAAGCUGGAAUCGCUAGUAAUCGCGAAUCAGAAUGUCGCGGUGAAUACGUUCCCGGGUCUUGUACACACCGCCCGUCACACCAUGGGAGUCAGUAACGCCCGAAGUCAGUGACCCAACCGGAACCGGAGGGAGCUGCCGAAGGUGGGACCGAUAACUGGGGUGAAGUCGUAACAAGGUAUC